UCCUCGGACCUUGCUUCCCUCCUCCUUUCUCACUGUAGAGAAACAGGAAGGGAUGUUUAUUAAUAAGACUGACUGGGGUCACACCCAAGGCAAUAUCAGAUAUUUACCUCUCCUGGGCUUGGGAAGAGGUUCAAGGAUCAACAACAAGUU
rfam:Equus caballus chromosome 23, whole genome shotgun sequence.